CUGGGCGGGGUUUGCUGGAAGGAAGGGCUGCAGCGUACAGCAACAGAGUUUAGACUGUCUUUGCUUCAUCAUCUGAAGGUAAAAUUUUCCAGAUACGGCAGGCGGCUUUCAGAGUACAAUAAACAGGGAAUGGGAACUAUUUGCGUGGAGAUUUCUUCCUCAUGAUGUAGUGGAGAAGCCUCGGCCGCUUGAUUCCGCCAGAUCUUCCUGGGGUUACUGUAAAUGGAAAGGACAGGCAGAGCUAAACAAGGUUCAUGAUUUUAGAAGUGCCUGUGUGAAGUCACUUUUGCUGGAAACUGCAGCCUGGGAGCUCUUUUGGUGUUCACAUCUUGUCUGUCUGUCAAACAUACUUUACCCUGACCUUAUGAGUGGAUGAAGAUACCUCAGUUGUCUGACUUUGCCAAUCGCUUCAUUUCAGAAUUUAAAAAGGGGGAAGGAAAAGAAAUCCUGCUAAAAUAUGAACAUCUGAGUGGCUUAUUUUCCAUCGUUGUCAAUAGCUGUGAGUGUCAGAACUAAUAUUCUCCCAAGGAGUGCCAUGAUAUUGAAGUCACUUUAUUAAAAACAGUUAUAUCUGCAAAACAGUCAAGAGACUUGGACAUUUAAAGCCGGAGAUGACACAGAGCAUGCUUCCACUGCGGUCCACUGUCUUCAAGUGGGACAUAUUGAUUGAUGAGUGACUGCCUGCCGAUACAUUCUCCCCUCACUCCGCUCCCUGGAUUGGACUUCAUUAAGCAAUCUAUCGCUCACCUUCAGACUUACAUGUGGGAGUUUUCACAGCAGUAGUUUUGGAAUCAUUAGAACUUGGAUUGAUUUCAUCAUUUAACAGAAACUAACAGCCCAAACUACCUUAUCACCAUGGCUUUGAACGUUGCCCCAGUCAGAGAUACAAAAUGGCUGACGUUGGAAGUCUGCAGACAGUUUCAAAGAGGAACGUGCUCACGCUCCGAUGAAGAAUGCAAAUUUGCUCAUCCCCCGAAAAGUUGCCAGGUGGAAAAUGGAAGAGUAAUUGCCUGUUUUGAUUCCUUAAAGGGCCGUUGUUCAAGAGAGAACUGCAAGUAUCUUCACCCUCCGACACACUUAAAAACUCAACUAGAAAUUAAUGGGAGGAACAAUUUGAUCCAGCAAAAAACUGCAGCAGCGAUGCUUGCCCAGCAGAUGCAAUUUAUGUUUCCAGGAACACCACUUCAUCCAGUGCCCACUUUUCCUGUAGGUCCUGCCAUAGGGACAAAUACGGCUAUUAGCUUUGCUCCUUACUUAGCACCUGUAACCCCUGGAGUUGGGUUAGUCCCAACGGAAAUUCUACCCACCACACCCGUUAUUGUUCCCGGAAGUCCACCUGUCACUGUCCCGGGCUCAACUGCAACUCAGAAACUUCUCAGGACUGACAAACUGGAGGUAUGCAGGGAGUUCCAGCGCGGGAACUGCGCCCGGGGAGAGACCGACUGCCGCUUUGCACACCCCGCCGACAGCACCAUGAUCGACACAAACGACAACACCGUAACCGUUUGUAUGGAUUACAUAAAGGGGCGUUGCAUGAGGGAGAAAUGCAAAUAUUUUCACCCUCCUGCACACUUGCAGGCCAAAAUCAAAGCAGCGCAGCACCAAGCCAACCAAGCCGCGGUGGCCGCCCAGGCAGCCGCGGCCGCGGCCACAGUCAUGACUCAGUCGACUGCCAAAGCAAUGAAGCGACCUCUCGAAGCAACUGUAGACCUGGCCUUUCCCCCUGGUGCACUUCAUCCUUUACCAAAGAGACAAGCACUUGAAAAAAGCAACGGGACCAGUGCGGUCUUUAACCCCAGCGUCCUGCAUUACCAGCAGGCUCUCACCAGCGCACAGUUGCAGCAACACGCCGCCUUCAUCCCGACAGAGCACUAAAAAUAAAACAAGGCUAUUCAAAUUAAAGCAAUCCUCUACUCAUAUUUUUAUAUUCAUUCUCUCUCUUUCUCCAUCCUUCUCAACUUUCACCAAGUUCACAAAUAUAUAGAGCUCUUACUCUUGGUUUCUAAGCCAAUGCCUGAUAAUAUUAGGCGCUAUGGUGCAUUAACUCUGUUAUUCCACUAAGAGAUCAGUUGUAUUAAUCGUAGAAUCUUGGAGUUUAAAGGAUUCUUAGUGAUCUCCUCAUCCAGUUGAUUGUUUUACAGAUGACAAAACUGAGGCCCCCUAAAGGAGAAGUGACUUUCCAAGGUGGCACAACUCAUGAUAAAAAGAUUAGAACCUACUUUCCCUGUGACCAAUUCACCUGACAUGACGUUACACCACCCACCCCUCCUCUAGCUAUUGAUUCCACAGAGUUCUACUAAAAAAUGAGAUAAAAGUGGACUUUUUUUUUAAAGUGCCAAAAAAGUCAGAUAAAAGUGAAGAAACAAAAGUAUAAUGCAUGUUAGCCCUACGCAGUUUUUGCCUACAUCCUUGACCACAAACACACACGGCAUACACAAACGAACACAGUCACCGUUGGUUGACUGUGAUUUUCAACUUUUAGUCUGAUGUAGCCUUUGGUGGGAAGACCAUCCAUUAAGUUUUCAUUCUGAAGUCAAAUCCUUCAUCCCAUGAUAGUGAGUUGAAGGUAAAUAUAGAUGAAUAACAAUUUUAACAAAAAGAGAUUGUAUAACCUAAGGCAUAUGUUUGGACUUUUCCAGUUUAUUAUCCGUUUCUUUAAAUCUCAUAGCAUAUCAGGAGUUAAUAUCUGAGAGAAUCGAAUAAAUAUUUCUGUGAUAUUCUUUGUAUAAAAUCUACAUAUUGAAAUGAAUUAGUAACCUGGGAACACUAUUUAUAAUAGUAAAAAUAUAAAUUGCAUAAACAAAAUGGUUUUUAGUGCUUAGUUUUCUUUAUUUAGUUUUAAACCCAUCUUAAAAUAAACAAACUCAUUGACCUAUAGAGGGACUCUCUAAUUCAGUACUUAUUAGGGCUUCAUUCUUGCCCUAUUACAACAAUAACUAGUGACAUUCCAGUGCUGUUGUAGCAUAACAGUAUUUGUAGAUGCAAUCCAUUUUAAAUAACAUUUGUGAAAUAAUCACUAGAAGGUAAACUUAGCUUGAGGUCCUGUGUGGUUUCUACAAGUGUCUCAUUGUAGACCUCUUGGCCACUAGAUAUUUUAAGAGGAAAAAAAAAUUAAGGAAGAAUAUAUUAAGGGGGAAAACAGAAAAGGACAAGUCUUUUUCUGAAGAAUGAAUGAUACCACCAUUCCCGUCUCCUGGGAUUACCUAUGAAACCCUGAAGCUAAGCAGGGCAAAAGACUCUCAAACCCUAACACAUAUUUAACACUCCAUCCAAUAAUGGAUGACUUAUUAAGAUAUUGAAAGAAUCCUCACUGUAAACUAUUUCACCUUGAAACUAUUUAAAUAUUUCCAAAGCAAGAAUGAAUAACAGCCUUUAUGCCAUGACCUGGUAUUUGUUGAUGAAAUGUAUUAUAUGAAGGACCGAUGUGCUGUAUUGGCUGCUGUAGUUGUGUACUUCCGCCCUCUGGUGGAUACCUUAGGAACAGCUUAAGUGUGUCUGGCAACCCACAAUACAGAGGGCUUUGGUAGCAGAAAAGUGGGUCCUAGCCCACUUAAUUCAGUGAAUUAGAAGUGUUUCCAUCUGUUACAUGAUGUAAAUAUCAUACUGGACAAACACGUGGAUCUCAUGUUCUGAAAUGGUAUUUUAAAUUCUAAGACAUGUUCACAUUUCUCUUAAAUGAGGAAAGAGAAAAUAAUUUUAUUAAAAGGAAAUUAGCAUAAUUUUUCUCCCACUCAAAUCCAUAAUAGACAUUUUAGUGUUUAUUUUAGCUCAAGUUUUUUACUUCAGACUUUGUUUCUUAUAAACCAUAUUUUCAACUUUGUUUUUAAAAUAGUAAUGAUAAUAAUCAUUCAUUGUUAAUCAUCAUUGUUUUUAAACCUGUGCAAAUCAAAUGAUGAUGCUCAAAUAUAAUUUUUGUAACUUGAUAGUGAGUCCAUUAUUUUUAAAUGAACUAAUUUUGAUUUUUCUAUAGAUGUUUUAUAUAAACAACCAUCAUAAACAUGAAAUGAAAAGCAUUUUAUGUUCUCCUGGAGGAUGCCCUUUAUUGAAAGGUCAUUCAUAGUAAAGUUUUUAAUAGGCUACUCAAAUUCUCCCAUUGACACAGUGUGAAUUUGAAAUUUAGGAAUUCUGCCUCCAGGCUAAAAAGAUAUUAAUAUAAAAUUUUAUGUAAAAUAUGAGUCUACUCCAAACCCAUGCUAAGAUAAUUAUCACCCUAGUUGAUGCCCUAGCACAUUUGCAGUGGGUGAGAUUUUUCUCUUUUUUUUUUUUUACUUUUUUCAUAGAGAUGAUUUUAACCAAGUAGUUAUACUUUUUCUUUGCUAUGUUAGGAACAUGGCAAAAACCGCACACACUUUCAAAAAUAGCAGCAUAAUAAUUCUUGGCAUUUCUCUGACAGGUUUAUUCUGAGUUACUGUAAGUGUUCUUAUAGACAUUAUCUCAUUAUUCUUCAAGAUGUUGCAAUUCUUUAGUGUCAGGCAUAGUUAUUUGCAUUUUGCAGAUGGAAAAACUGAGGCUGUGUCUACACUGCAAAGUGGAAUAUGUAAUUAACGGAAUUAUCUAGAUAAUUCUGGCUCACAGACACGAGAGCCGAAAUAUUUGUGCAACAGAAACCAUUUGAGAAGGGUUUGUUCAUAGAAUUAAUGCUUUUGUGAAAUGCUUCAGCUGGUCAGAACAAAGGUGACUGCCCAGAUUCCUUCCAUGAUUUAUUUCAUUAUAAAGGAAUGGCAGAGUAACUAGACCAGGGGAAAGUGCUAACCCAAAUAUUGCCUAAUGAUGAGAAACCAUAAAUGUUACAUAAGGUUAUCGUACAACUUGGUGAAUGAUUUAUCAGUGUUUGCAGUGGAAACUACGUCUGCAUAACCACAACAACAUUUAUUUAUUCCAUUCAAUUUAGCAAACAUUUCUUGAAAGCAUAGUAUGUUCUGGGUUCCAGAGCCAGUAAUGAGAAUAUAAAAGAGUUCAAAACUAGGUGAAAACCAAAUACCAUGCACAGAGUGAAGGACUAGCUGCAGGUCUGAGCAAUGCUACUGGAGAGUGAUGGAGAGGAAGGCCAGGCUUCUGCCUUCAGCUUGUGCAGUGAGUGGGUUGUGGUUCUGAAGGAUAUGGAGAAAGAAGACUUUCCAAAGUAGGAGAUUGGUCUUUGGAAGAGAAGCUUAAGACUUUGAAACAGAAGCAAGAUUUUACCAACGAGGAAGAGAAUCCCAGACAGGGGAUGGGAAGAAUGUAUUUGAAGAAUAGAAAGUGUUACAUGUAGCUGGAGUAUAAUAAAGUCCUUACAGAGUGUGUGCAAAGAGUGGAGGUGAGCAAUGGGGUGAAAAGGCAGAGAUGCAGUUUGCAAAGAAGAUCGGGACCAAAAUCUGGCAUUGAGUAAGAGAGCCACACACAGCCGAACACACGGUUAUGUGUUUCCAGAAUUCACAUCAUUAUUCAGCUGCAUGAGAGAGAGAGGCUCAUUGAAUUAAUUUGGUCCAGCAUUCCGGCCACAUGGAGGACUGAAGCCAAAGUGACAUGACUAAUCCUAGCCCACUGUGGCUGUGGGAGCUGUUGAUUGUUUGCAGUCCCGAAGACAUUCACAUGCAUGACACAGGAAAACCCUCCAAGAAAGCCCCUCCACAUUGGAAAGAAGAAAAUAAGAGGGGGGUUUUAUAGGGGCAACUUUGAAUCCAGCCACAGUUAACUUUAAAAUCAAAUAAUUCACAAACUUGGUAUUUUAAUAAAUUUUAGGAACAAAUUGUUCCCAACAUGCUUCUUACUAAUGGCUAAGAAUAUUCAUUCAACACAUCGACCACCUUCUACAUGCCUCCACAGACCUGGUCAGACAGGAACUCUGCCUCCCAGAGUUUAUAGUGGAGGAGGAAAGAUGGAUGUUCAGCAAAUAUCCAUAUAAAUAUAUAGUUAAAUUUUUCAUGAGGACAGGUUGAGUAUCUCUUACCCAAAAUACUUGGGACCAGAAGUGUUUUGGAUUUUUUUUUUUUAAUUUUGGAAUAUUUUCAUUUCAUUACCAGUUGAGCAUCUCAAAUCUGAAAAUUGAAAUACUCCAAUGAGCAUUUCCUUUGAGGGUCAUGUUGGUACUCAAAAGCUUUCAGAUCGGAGCAUUUUGGAUUUGGAAUGCUCAACCUGUACUAUGAAUGAAAAAGUACAGGGCUCAAUGAGACUAAAAAUGGAAAACUGACUUGAUGGCAUGGGGAAGUAGGUAAAAGAACAACUGAACAACUUCUAAAGAAGUGGCAUGAACUUUGAGACCUGGAAGAGUGGGGUGAAGAUUAUUCUAGGCUCAGAGGACAGCUUAUAGGCAGCUCAAAAAUAGGGCAAAAGUGUGACACGUACAGUUCAGAGAAAUGAAAAGCUAACCUGUCUGGGUCAUGGUGCCAGGGAAGAGAGGUGUAGGACAGCCUGCAGGGUAGUCACAGCCUGAACCACAGGGCACCUUUAUCCUCGAAGCAACGAGAAGACACCAAAUCCUUUCCAGCAGAGAAGUGGCCAGCCUGCAUUUGGAAAGAUUUACUCUGCUGGCAGAGUGGAGAAUGGGCUGAGGAAGGAAGAAAAAUGGAAGCUGGAAGACCAGUUAGAAUGUUAUCACAAAUAGCCCAGCUUAGAGAUGUGGUGACCGGGACUUGAGAAUUGGCGGUAGUGAUGGGCAAACAGACAAAGGCUAGCUGCACUUUAGAAGCAGGAUUUCUCUGGCUUAUUGGUAAGUUGGACUGAGCAAUCGCACCAGGGCAAGUGGUAUCAGGCAUAACUUUCAGUUCAGACUAGAGCUCUACGUAGACAGUGAGCAAUCAGGUAUUUCCUGAGAGAGAGAAACAGAUUCUGUGAAAAAGAUCAAAGUUUGGACACAUCAUAUUUGAGACACGUGUGAGACAUCCAAGUAGAGAGGCCAGGUAUGCAGUGAGAUGAAAGGACCUGGAGCUCAGAGAAGAGGUCUGGGCAAGAUGCAUAAAUGUGGAAGCCAUGAGCUCACGGGAUUCAAAUCCAUGCAUUGAAUGAUAUACCAGGAAAAAGUAUAGAGUAGGUGAAAAGGACCCAUAACUGAGUCUUGAAAACCUCUAGAAUAUAGAGAUGCAGAAUUCAGGGAAAGAAGAGAAUCCAGCAAAAUAAAUAAAAGGGAGUUGCCAGAAAGAAAAAGAAAAUGUGUGUGUGUGUGAGAGAGAGAGAGAGAGACCAAAACUCUAAGGGAAGAGAGUGGUUUAUUAUGUAGGAGGUGGGCGAGUGCUAAAUGCUACUGAGAAUCAGGACAGUUAGGUGAUGAUGCCUACUGAUUGCAGCAAUAUGGAGUUCUUUGGUGACUGACAUUUGCAGAGGUAAAAAUGAAAGCCCAAUUGGAGAGGAUGGAAGAAUAAAUGGGGACAAGGAAGUGAAAAUUUAUGUGCAGUUAACUUUCCAAAAGUUUGUGAAGAUUAGAGAAAUAGGGCUGAAGAAAGAUAUGGUGUCGUGAAAGGGAUUUUGAGGGGGAAUGUGAGAGUGUGUGUGUGUGUGUGUGUGUGCGCGCAUGUGUGUGUGUGUUUUAAGUUGGAUAUAUUGGUGCAUGUCUGUUGAAGAAUCCAGUAGUAGCCCAGUAAAAUAGCUCCCUUUCCUGAAUAGGUAAUAUUAACCUGAUCAAAAUGUAGGUCAGGCAAAAAGGAUCCUUGUGGUGUGAACAGCUAAUAUCUCAGAAGGCAAAUCUGAAACCCUAAGUGGGUACACCUAUGUUCAUUAAAAACUCCCUCUCUGGCACUUACUGGACGUUCAGUUGUCAGUUGUCUAAAUCCACAUAUUACCUUGCUUUUCAUGGUACUGAAUCAGUAGCAUAUAAUUCCUCAAAGCUCUCAAUACAAUUCUUUCUCAGUUCUCCACAACAGACAUUAACAUUCAUGGUCAGAAUUUUCUGAUUCAGGCACAGUAAUAAAACCUCCACAUAUACAGCAACUAUUUCUAAGGAAGGGCUGAAAUCCCUCUUCCCUACUUCCCACCUGCCCAUUUAGGCACCUACUUGAGAUUUCCUAGGAGUGCCUUUAUUGCUAGGCACUACUCCGUUAUUACAAUGAAUCUCAUAGCAGAAAAUGGAUCGCACACAGGUACACACCCAGGGCAAUCCAUCCAAGUAUCUUAAUCUUCCUACGUUACUGGGCUUUCGAGCAAUGAUCUAAAAUUAACUUAUCUUGCCCUAUAAGACUUCGAUUUGGAGAAUAUGAAAUCUUAAUUACUGUUCUUAUUUUCAUAUUGUUGCUGACAUAAAAGUUUUACAGUCAAACAAGUAAACUUUCAAUGCACUAAAUUCAGCAUAAUCGUGUGAAUAUAAAACCUGACCUGGAUUCAGGAGUAGAGUUCUAUUUCUAGCCUUACCCUUGACUCUCACUAUGCAUGACCUUGGAGGAGUUACUAUGCCUCAGAUUUUUCAUCUGUAAAAUACCCACUUCCUACCUUGGAGGAUUAACCUGAUAAUGUCUGUAAAAUACUUUGCCGUCUUAGAGGAAGGACACCACGGCAUUAUCACAUGUCAUUUUUAUGAGAAUCAUGUUGAUGUAUAUGAAUAGAAAGUGUGAACAGUAGUCUAAGGAGUGAGCUUGGAAUAAUAUUGGCUUAAAAUAAGUCAGAUAUAUUUGUGUCUGUACUGACAAUGUGAAUGGCCCUAAAAGACUGUGUUAACUAACCCUACUUAUUUCUGGUUGUGCUUCAAUCUCACUUUGAAUGUUAACUCUAAACCGCUAACCUGUUUCUUUCCCUUUAUUCACUUUUUCCACCCACCAUUGCAUGACAUCAGGGUCAGUUUUGUGCAUGACACCCGCUACCAGUAUUGUACCCAUGAUGCACAGCGCUACGUCCGCCACUGUCUCUGCAGCAACAACUCCUGCAACAAGUG